UACGGGGGGUGCAAGCGUUGUUCGGAUUUACUGGGCGUAAAGGGCGCGUAGGCGGCGUGACAAGUCACUUGUGAAAUCUCCGGGCUUAACUCGGAACGGUCAAGUGAUACUGUCGUGCUAGAGUACAGAAGGGGCAACUGGAAUUCUCGGUGUAGCGGUGAAAUGCGUAGAUAUCGAGAGGAACACCUGCGGCGAAGGCGGGUUGCUGGGCUGACACUGACGCUGAGGCGCGAAAGCCAGGGGAGCGAACAGG
rnacentral:rRNA from 1 species